rnacentral:rRNA from 1 species
AUUGAACGCUCGCGGGAUGCCUUACACAUGCAAGUCGAACGGAGUGGCGAACGGGUGAGUAAUGUAUCGGAACGUGCCCAUUAGCGGUGGAUACCUACGCGAAAGCGUAGCUCAUACCGCAUACUAUUGGAGCGGCCGAUAUCGGAUUAGCUAGUUGGUGGGGUAACGGCUGACCACGGCGCCGCUCCGUAGCUGGUUUGAGCGGACGACCAGCCACACUGGGACUGAGACACGGCCCAGACUCCUAGGGUAGGCAGCAGUGGGUAAUGUUGGACAAUGGGGGAAACCCUUGUCAAGCCAUCCCGCGUGUGCGAUGAAGGCCUUCGGGUUGUAAAGCACUUUUGGCAGGAAAGCGGUACCUGCAGAAUAAGCACCGGCUAACUACGUGCCAGCAGCCGCGGUAAUAC